GUUUGGCAACAGAGAUAGAUACUAAAAUUGUAAAUUAUACAGAGAAGAUUAGCAUGCCCCUUGCACAAGGAUGACACAAAUUCAUGAAGUGUUCCAUAUUCAA
ensembl:snRNA U6 U6 spliceosomal RNA